rnacentral:rRNA from 1 species
UCCAGACUCCUACGGGAGGCAGCAGUGGGGAAUAUUGCACAAUGGGGGGAACCCUGAUGCAGCGACGCCGCGUGGGUGAAGGAGUAUUUCGGUAUGUAAAGCCCUAUCAGCAGGGAAGAACAAUGACGGUACCUGACUAAGAAGCACCGGCUAAAUACGUGCCAGCAGCCGCGGUAAUACGUAGGGGGCAAGCGUUAUCCGGAUUUACUGGGUGUAAAGGGGGCGCAGACGGCGAUGCAAGCCAGGAGUGAAAGCCCGGGGCCCAACCCCGGGACUGCUCUUGGAACUGCGUGGCUGGAGUGCAGGAGGGGCAGGCGGAAUUCCUGGUGUAGCGGUGAAAUGCGUAGAUAUCAGGAGGAACACCGGUGGCGAAGGCGGCCUGCUGGACUGCAACUGACGUUGAGGCCCGAAAGCGUGGGGAGCAAACAGGAUUAGAUACCCCAGUA